UUAGGAUUUGGAUUAGGGUUUGAUUUAGGGUUAAGGAUUUGGUUUAGGUUUUGAUUGAAGUUUAUUUAGGGUUUAGAGUUUGAUUAGGAUUUGGUUUAGGAUUUAGGAUUUGGAUUAGGAUUUGGUUAGGAUUUGAUUUAGAGUUUAAGAUUUACUUAGGGUUUGAUUUAGGAUUUAGGAUUUGGUUAGGGUUUGAUUGAAGUUUAUUUAGGAUUUAGAGUUUGAUUAGGAUUUGAUUUAGGAUUUAGGGUUUGGAUUAGGAUUUGGUUAGGAUUUGAUUUAGGGUUUAAGAUUUAGUUAGGAUUUGGUUUAGGAUUUAGGAUUUGGUUAGGAUUUGAUUUAAGGUUUAGGAUUUGGAUUAGGAUUUGGUUAGGGUUUCAUUCAAGAUUUAGAGUUUGGUUUAGAGUUUGGUUAGGAUUUGGUUUAUGAUUUGAUUGGGGUUUGGUUUAAGGUAGGAUUUAAGAUUCAAUUAGUUUUGGCCUAAAUUUUGAAUGAAGUUCAAUAGGAUUUUAAUUAGAAUUAAAUUAAGAUUGAAUUGAGAUGUAUUUAAGUGAUAUUUGUGAUCAUUCUAAUAUUUCUUUAAGAAUUUUUAUUAUUUGUUUGAAAUUUUUUUGAGGUUUUUUUGAAUUUGAUUAAUCUUGCUUAGCAUUAUUAUAGUCUAAUUAGAGCAUUGUUAGUAUUCUAUUAGAAUUAGGAUUUUGUUAUUGCAAUUUCCAUUCUUCCUUCCACAACCAGGUGUCCAAAGCAU
rnacentral:lncRNA from 1 species